AAACUUUCAACAACGGAUCUCUUGGUUCUCGCAUCGAUGAAGAACGCAGCGAAAUGCGAUACGUAAUGUGAAUUGCAGAAUUCCGUGAAUCAUCGAAUCUUUGAACGCACAUUGCGCCCCUUGGUAUUCCAGGGGGCAUGCCUGUUUGAGCGUCAUUUCCUUCUCAAACAUUCUGUUU
rnacentral:rRNA from 1 species